UCUCCAAUCCAAGUUCUAGAACCUUUACUGAUAUAGUCAUUUCAUCAAACUUUCUUGAAGCAGUAGCAGACCGUACCUCAAAAUUCUUAACCUGCAUAGAUGUGACCCAAGAAAAGCAGUGUGAAUUGUUGUCUUCAGUGAUCCACUCUUCUUAUCUGAAGUGAAAGACCAUGACUGACCCUUCGAUGAAUGAUGGAAGAUAGAAGACAAUGAGGAACAUUGUUCAUGAAAUCAGAAGCCUGAAGUCCAGGUGCUGGUAAGGCCAUGCUCCCUCUGAAGAUGCUAGGGGAGAAGGUUUCCUUGCAUCCUCAAGAUUCUGACAGCUCCUGGAGUUCCCUGGUUGGUGGUAGCAAAUGCCAGUCUCUGCCUCCAUCUUCACAAUGGCUUCUUCCAUGUAUGUCUCUUUGUGUCCUUUUCUGUCUCUUAUUAGGACACACUCAUUGGAUUUAGGGAUCACCGUAAUCCAGUAUGAUCUUAUCUUGAUCCUUACCUUUAUUACCUGUGAAAAGACCCUAUUUCCAAAAAACACUCUGAGCUUCUUGGCGGGCAUGGAUAUUUUGGAAAAUGCUAUUCGACCCUCAGCAUUUAUGCUACUUCACACAUGCUUCAAAGCUAUUGUAAUAAACAUUGAAGUGAGUAGAAAUCAAAUAAUCAAACAAUUGGUUUAUUACAAUAGAUUUAAAAAUCUGGUGAAUUCACUAAAGAAUUUGAAUCAUCAUUUCUAAUAGAAGCA